UACGUAGGGGCCUAGCGUUGUCCGGAUUUAUUGGGCGUAAAGAGCUCGUAGGCGGCUCGGUUAGUCGGAUGUGAAAUCUCCACGCUCAACGUGGAGGCGCCAUCCGAUACUGCCGUGGCUUGAGUCCGGUAGGGGAGUGUGGAAUUCCCGGUGUAGCGGUGAAAUGCGCAGAUAUUGGGAGGAACACCAGUGGCGAAGGCAGCCUUCUGGGCCAACACUGACGCUCAUGCACGAAAGCGUGGGGAGCAAACAGG
rnacentral:rRNA from 1 species